GAUGAAGAACGUAGCGAAAUGCGAUAAGUAAUGUGAAUUGCAGAAUUCAGUGAAUCAUCGAAUCUUUGAACGCACAUUGCGCCCGCCAGUAUUCUGGCGGGCAUGCCUGUUCGAGCGUCAUUUCAACCAUCAAGCCCCGGGCUUGUGUUGGGGACCUGCGGCUGCCGCAGGCCCUGAAAUGCAGUGGCGGGCUCGCUGUCACUCCGAGCGUAGUAGUCACAUCUCGCUCUGGGCGUGCUGCGGGUUCCGGCCGUUAAAAGCCUUAUUUACCCAAGGUUGACCUCGGAUCAGGUAGGAAGACCCGCUGAACUUAAGCAUAUCAAUAAGCGGAGGA
rnacentral:misc_RNA from 1 species